rnacentral:lncRNA from 1 species
UUCAGGAGGACAGGGUUUGCUGAGCUGGUGUGCUUUCGUAGGUGGGAGGAAAGACAACACUUAACAGAUAGUGAGUGCUUCAUACGCAGCGUGUCCUGAAAGGCAUUUCUAAAGCUACCAGUGCCAUCUGUACCUUUCAAGGCAGAUAGUACUAAGCAAGCUGAAUGGACAUCACAGACCUGUUCAUGAGUGAUAUCUGUCCACCAAUAUGGGAAGUACCAGCAAGUAUAGUGGCUCAGCUGCAUCAUGGGAAGACUGAGAGGAGCAAGGUGCAGUAAAAGAGACAACAGGAAAAUGGUCUCUGUGGUCAUGGAUUUCUCUGCUCCAGUGUGGAAACAAUGAAGAGAUGGGACAGAGGGGUGUGAGAAGAGUUGAACAAAAGUGGGGUGUGGGAGAGAAAAGGUGAGAUGAACUAAGAUAGCAAAUUAAAGGAAAAACUGAGUCAGGGAGAAAUGAAAAAUGUUGGGUAAGGAGGUAUGGAGACAAGAGAAGAAGUAACAUGUAAGAUUGAAACAAAAGAAAAAUGCAAAACACAGAUAAGGAAAUAAGGCUUAAACUGGAGCCUUUCGUAAUUUUAUGUUAGAUUAGCACAACAAACCAUGUAGCUCAGCACAUGACAUCAUGUGGCCACAUGCCAUGCAAAGAUGACUGACAGGUUAAUCAACUGACAUCACGAGAAACACACAUGUAAAAAAAAAUCAUAUUUAAACUGACAGGAUAAUUACUUUCACCGUCCCUCAUGCAGGCCCCUUCAGGCAGGA